CCUACGGGAGGCACCAGUAGGGAAUAUUGGACAAUGGGGGCAACCCUGAUCCAGCAAUGCCGCGUGAGUGAUGAAGGCCUUUGGGUUGUAAAGCUCUUUUACCCGGGAUGAUAAUGACAGUACCGGGAGAAUAAGCCCCGGCUAACUCCGUGCCAGCAGCCGCGGUAAUACGGAGGGGGCUAGCGUUGUUCGGAAUUACUGGGCGUAAAGCGCACGUAGGCGGCGAUUUAAGUCAGAGGUGAAAGCCCGGGGCUCAACCCCGGAACUGCCUUUGAGACUGGAUUGCUUGAAUCCGGGAGAGGUGAGUGGAAUCCCGAGUGUAGAGGUGAAAUUCGUAGAUAUUCGGAAGAACACCAGUGGCGAAGGCGGCUCACUGGACCGGCAUUGACGCUGAGGUGCGAAAGCGUGGGGAGCAAACAGGAUUAGAUACCCGUGUAGUC
rnacentral:rRNA from 1 species